rnacentral:rRNA from 1 species
AGAGUUUGAUCCUGGCUCAGAGCGAACGCUGGCGGCGUGCCUAACACAUGCAAGUCGCACGAGAAAGGGGCCGCAAGGCCCCCGGUACAGUGGCGAACGGGUGAGUAACACGUGGGUAACCUGCCCCUGGGUUCGGAAUAACCUGCCGAAAGGCGGGCUAAUACCGGAUGACAUCGCGCGGCCUUCGGGCUGUGCGUUCAAAGCUGACCUCUUCAUGAAAGUUGGCGCCUGGGGAGGGGCCCGCGGCCCAUUAGCUAGUUGGUGAGGUAACGGCUCACCAAGGCUACGAUGGGUAGCCGGCCUGAGAGGGCGACCGGCCACGGUGGAACUGAGACACGGUCCACACUCCUACGGGAGGCAGCAGUGAGGAAUCUUGCGCAAUGGGCGAAAGCCUGACGCAGCGACGCCGCGUGGACGAUGAAGGCCUUCGGGUCGUAAAGUCCUGUCGGGUGGGAAGAAAUGGCUCGGAGCUAAUAUCUCCGAGUCCUGACUGUACCACCAAAGGAAGCCCCGGCUAACUCCGUGCCAGCAGCCGCGGUAAUACGGAGGGGGCCAGCGUUGCUCGGAAUUAUUGGGCGUAAAGGGCGCGUAGGCGGUCUGGUAAGUUUGAUGUGAAAUCCCAUGGCUUAACCAUGGAACUGCAUCUCAUACUGCCGGGCUAGAGUCUGGGAGAGGGGAGUGGAAUUCCCGGUGUAGCGGUGAAAUGCGUAGAUAUCGGGGGGAACACCAGUGGCGAAGGCGGCUCCCUGGACCAGUACUGACGCUGAGGCGCGAAAGCUAGGGGAGCAAACAGGAUUAGAUACCCCUGUAGUCC